AGAGUUUGAUCCUGGCUCAGAUUGAACGCUGGCGGCAUGCCUUACACAUGCAAGUCGAACGGCAGCACGAGAGCUUGCUCUUGGUGGCGAGUGGCGAACGGGUGAGUAAUAUAUCGGAACGUACCCUAGAGUGGGGGAUAACGUAGCGAAAGUUACGCUAAUACCGCAUACGAUCUACGGAUGAAAGUGGGGGAUCGCAAGACCUCAUGCUCAUGGAGCGGCCGAUAUCUGAUUAGCUAGUUGGUGGGGUAAAAGCUCACCAAGGCGACGAUCAGUAGCUGGUCUGAGAGGACGACCAGCCACACUGGAACUGAGACACGGUCCAGACUCCUACGGGAGGCAGCAGUGGGGAAUUUUGGACAAUGGGCGCAAGCCUGAUCCAGCAAUGCCGCGUGAGUGAAGAAGGCCUUCGGGUUGUAAAGCUCUUUUGUCAGGGAAGAAACGGUGGACUCUAAUACAGAUCACUAAUGACGGUACCUGAAGAAUAAGCACCGGCUAACUACGUGCCAGCAGCCGCGGUAAUACGUAGGGUGCAAGCGUUAAUCGGAAUUACUGGGCGUAAAGCGUGCGCAGGCGGUUGUGCAAGACAGAUGUGAAAUCCCCGGGCUCAACCUGGGAAUUGCAUUUGUGACUGCACGGCUAGAGUGUGUCAGAGGGGGGUAGAAUUCCACGUGUAGCAGUGAAAUGCGUAGAGAUGUGGAGGAAUACCGAUGGCGAAGGCAGCCCCCUGGGAUAACACCGACGCUCAUGCACGAAAGCGUGGGGAGCAAACAGGAUUAGAUACCCUGGUAGUCCACGCCCUAAACGAUGUCUACUAGUUGUCGGGUCUUAAUUGACUUGGUAACGCAGCUAACGCGUGAAGUAGACCGCCUGGGGAGUACGGUCGCAAGAUUAAAACUCAAAGGAAUUGACGGGGACCCGCACAAGCGGUGGAUGAUGUGGAUUAAUUCGAUGCAACGCGAAAAACCUUACCUACCCUUGACAUGUCUGGAAUCCUUGAGAGAUCAGGGAGUGCUCGAAAGAGAAUCAGAACACAGGUGCUGCAUGGCUGUCGUCAGCUCGUGUCGUGAGAUGUUGGGUUAAGUCCCGCAACGAGCGCAACCCUUGUCAUUAGUUGCUACGAAAGGGCACUCUAAUGAGACUGCCGGUGACAAACCGGAGGAAGGUGGGGAUGACGUCAAGUCCUCAUGGCCCUUAUGGGUAGGGCUUCACACGUCAUACAAUGGUACAUACAGAGGGCCGCCAACCCGCGAGGGGGAGCUAAUCCCAGAAAGUGUAUCGUGGUCCGGAUUGUAGUCUGCAACUCGACUACAUGAAGUUGGAAUCGCUAGUAAUCGCGGAUCAGCAUGUCGCGGUGAAUACGUUCCCGGGUCUUGUACACACCGCCCGUCACACCAUGGGAGCGGGUUUCACCAGAAGUGGGUAGCCUAACCGCAAGGAGGGCGCUCACCACGGUGGGAUUCGUGACUGGGGUGAAGUCGUAACAAGGUA
rnacentral:rRNA from 1 species